UACGUAGGAUCCGAGCGUUGUCCGGAGUUACUGGGUGUAAAGGGUGCGUAGGCGGACUUGUGCGUCAGAGGUGAAAUCCACGAGCUCAACUCGUGGGGUGCCUUUGAUACGGCAAGUCUUGAGUUCGAGAGGGGCGGGUGGAAUUCCUGGUGUAGCAGUGAAAUGCGUAGAUAUCAGGAGGAACACCGAUGGCGAAGGCAGCCCGCCGGCUCGCAACUGACGCUGAGGCACGAAAGCGUGGGGAUCAAACAGG
rnacentral:rRNA from 1 species